CCAACACGACCGUUUUGGGUGCAUUAGACAUCAAAGAAGAAGAGGCAUUAGGGAGCACAACCACAAAGAGUAACACGACCAGGAAUACGGCCAUGUUCGCGGCGACAAGACGAAUUAAUUAAAAGAAAGAGCAAGAGGAAAGAAAGGAGAGCGGGAGAGAACGUCCCAAACCCUAAUAUUUCUCUCUCUAAGGGUUUUCUGAGCUGGAACCAAGGGAAAAGGAGACUUGGAUCAAGGUUUCAAUCGGAUUCCCUUCAAAGAUUGAAGAUUGGGCGAGGUUUGUUGAUUGGUUUUCAAAUUGAGUAAGAGGAACAAGAAUCGAUUCAAUUUGAGCAAGAGGAAUUGUGGCUAUUUAC
rnacentral:lncRNA from 1 species